rnacentral:rRNA from 1 species
GGCGACCGGCGAACGGGUGCGUAACGCGUGAACAACUUGCCGGACACAGGGGGAUAAUCGUCGGAAACGUCGUCUAAUAUCCCAUAACAUUGACAUGGGCAUCCAUGUUGAUUGAAAGCAAUUAUGCGGUGUCUGAUAGGUUCGCGUGACAUUAGCUAGUCGGUGGGGCAACGGCCCACCGAGGCGACGAUGUCUAGGGGUUCUGAGAGGAAGGCCCCCCACACUGGGACUGAGACACGGCCCAGACUCC